rnacentral:rRNA from 1 species
CUACGGGGUGCUCCAGUGAGGAAUAUUGCACAAUGGGGGGAACCCUGAUGCAGCAACGCCGCGUGGAGGAUGACGCAUUUCGGUGUGUAAACUCCUUUUAUAUGUCAAGAAAAUGACGGUAGCAUAUGAAUAAGCACCGGCUAACUCCGUGCCAGCAGCCGCGGUAAUACGGAGGGUGCAAGCGUUACUCGGAAUCACUGGGCGUAAAGGACGCGUAGGCGGGUUGGAAAGUCAGGUGUGAAAUCCUACAGCUUAACUGUAGAACUGCACUUGAAGCUUCUAAUCUAGAGUAUGGAAGGGGGAGAUGGAAUUAGUGGUGUAGGGGUAAAAUCCGUAGAUAUCACUAGGAAUACCUAAAGCGAAGGCGAUCUCCUGGAACAUUACUGACGCUAAGGCGUGAAAGCGUGGGGAGCAAACAGGAUUAGAUACCCCUGUAGUC